UCUCGCCCCACCCCUCUAUAAAGCCCUAUCCCGCCGGCAGUCAGGCGCCAUUUGCUCCCAUGCGAGUGCCGGGAGCGGUCGCGUCUUUCCAUCGAACUGCGCCACGUGACCAAUAAACCGUUCCUGCCAAGCACGGAGUAAAUGGACAAAUUCCUUCUUUGCCGGGUCCCUAGCGCGCAGUAACAGAGACUGGCCGGCCCACGCGCCCGAGACACGGAGCCGUGUCCGGGAACCCGCGGCAGCAAACCCCGGCAGCACGUGGAAGCUACGCCACAGCCGGGCUCCCAAGAGCUGCGUGCAGUCGGGGAGAGCAAAAAACCAGCGCCGCAACACAUGUUCUACUAAGGGAUGUUAGACUGCCUGGACUGCCCAGCUACACCCAUCCCACUGACCAAGUGUCCAUUAACUGCUGGAGCACAGUGGACAGGCUCCUGGAGAAAGCCUCUUCCACCUGGGUUCCAUCUGAGCUAAAUCCAGAGCACUCUUUGGUGUGAGACAAAGAGCACAGAGAGCUGAUGAUCCCAACCCAAAUGAAAUACUCAUGGACAGAUUCAAAGUGAAGAGCAGUGAAAUACAGCAGCCCAUUCUGGUUUCCAGGUUCUGCUGCAGUUCAGAUCAGGCUCAAUGAUAGCUUCCACAGGCUGGACACAGAGACAGGACUUAAAGGAAUGGAAAAGCAGAGAAAACUGUAUUGAUAGAGGAGAGCAUUCAUCACACUGCUAUCAAGGAUAAAAUAUUUAACACAGAAGCCAACUCGAAACCUAGCCUUUGGGGAUACAGCAAUACAGCAAGAAUCAAUAGAAGCUGAACAGACAUAGCCUGCUUAUCAGAGAAAAGAAGCUCACAUAUUAUGAGGCUCUGAUCUUUCAUAUAGUAUAUAUGUCAGUCCCACUGGACAGUAAGAAUUAUUCACAGAAUAAAAGCUCUGAAAUGGAACUUAAA